AGAAAGCCUUUUUUAACACUUGCUAUGUUAGGUUAACUAGGAGAAACUAUUUAGCUUUUUGGUGGUUGUGUGGUGGUCUGCACAGUGGUUUUGCAACUAGGCGUCAAUGUUUUUAUUGAGCAAACUAAGGUUACAUUACUCAGAAAGCUCAGUUAGACUGAUUGGCCAAUUAAAAGGAAACAUUAGAUCUAAGCCUGUGUAAGCCUCAGACCAACUCCCUCUGGGCUGAGUGGCUACAAGCUAACUGAGGUUGUUAGUCAGGUGUUAGUCACACUUGCUGAGACAAUUUACUUCCUGGUUGGAUAAACAGUGAGAAACAAGAAGCAGAAUGUCUCAGGGGAAGCAGGUCGGAUUUUUAAACUCUCCUAACUCUUUUGGGAGUUGCUGUGGUGAGACAAAGUUCUGACUACAAUUUGAUACCAAGGAAUUUGGGAGAACAUUGCUGCUUUUCUGGGAAGGAAUAGUAUGAGGUAACUCAAACAAUAGAAUGACGUGGCUUGUGACAGGAUGCUGUCUCACUCUUAAGAUCCUCCUUUUACGAAGCACAUUCUACAGUAGGGGAGGGCAGACCUUGACGAAGACCUGAGCAUCCACCAACACACUCCAGCCACUACCCCCACUCCCCCAGAGCCAGAUCUAACCUUCUCAAGCCUGACUAAAAUGGAUGUCUUCUAUCUGCUCAGAUUAAUUAUUGUCUCUGAAUUGAACAACAAAUCCUGCCCAUAUUACAAUAACUAAAAUCUUAUAUUUUCUUUUCAUACUUUCUUUAAUGGGUGAAGUCAAAUAAAACUGAUCAUUAUUGCA